GACAGAGGCCUCAAGCGUUAGGCGGAAUUACUGGGCGUAAAGCGUGCGCAGGCGGCGCGUUAAGACAGGUGUGAAAGCCCCGAGCUUAACUUGGGAAUUGCGCUUGUGACUGGCGUGCUGGAGUGUGGCAGAGGGAGGUGGAAUUCCACGUGUAGCAGUGAAAUGCGUAGAGAUGUGGAGGAACACCGAUGGCGAAGGCAGCCUCCUGGGCCAGCACUGACGCUCAUGCACGAAAGCGUGGGGAGCAAACAGG
rnacentral:rRNA from 1 species